UACGGAGGGAGCUAGCGUUAUUCGGAAUUACUGGGCGUAAAGCGCACGUAGGCGGCUUUGUAAGUUAGAGGUGAAAGCCUGGAGCUCAACUCCAGAAUUGCCUUUAAGACUGCAUCGCUUGAAUCCAGGAGAGGUGAGUGGAAUUCCGAGUGUAGAGGUGAAAUUCGUAGAUAUUCGGAAGAACACCAGUGGCGAAGGCGACUCUUUGGCCUGUAACUGACGCUGAGGCGCGAAAGCGUGGGGAGCAAACAGG
rnacentral:rRNA from 1 species